UACGGAGGAUGCAAGCGUUAUCCGGAAUGAUUGGGCGUAAAGCGUCCGCAGGUGGCAAUGUAAGUCUGCUGUCAAAGCGUCUGGCUCAACCAGAUAAAGGCAGUGGAAACUACAUAGCUAGAGUAAGGUAGGGGUAGAGGGAAUUCCUGGUGUAGCGGUGAAAUGCGUAGAGAUCAGGAAGAACACCGGUGGCGAAGGCGCUCUGCUAGGCCGUAACUGACACUGAGGGACGAAAGCUAGGGGAGCGAAUGGG
rnacentral:rRNA from 1 species